rnacentral:rRNA from 1 species
AUUGAACGCUGGCGGUAGGCUUAACACAUGCAAGUCGAACGGUAGCAGCUCUAGCUUGCUAGAGGCUGACGAGUGGCGGACGGGUGAGUAACGCGUAGGAAUCUACCUAAUAGUGGGGGACAACCUGGUGAAAACCAGGCUAAUACCGCAUACGCCCUACGGGGAAAGCGGGGAGUCUUCGGACCUCGCGCUAUUAGAUGAGCCUGCGUUAGAUUAGCUAGUUGGUGGGGUAAAGGACGUCACCAAGGCGACGAUCUAUAGCUGGUCUGAGAGGAUGAUCAGCCACACUGGGACGUGAGACACGGCCCAGACUCCUACGGGAGGCAGCAGUGGGGAAUAUUGCGCAAUGGGCGAAAGCCUGACGCAGCCAUACCGCGUGUGUGAAGAAGGGUUUAGGCUCGUAAAGCACUUUAAGUAAGGGAGGAAGGCCUAAAGUUUAAUACGCUUUAGGAUUGACGUUACCUACAGAAUAAGCACCGGCUAACUCCGUGCCAGCAGCCG